ACUUUACAUAAAAACUCAUUAGACAUACAAAUUUAUAUAAAAAUUUUAUUGAAUACAACAUCAAUACAAACUAAAAAUGAACUUUAAAUUCAUCGUUGCCAUGGCAAUUUUUGUCAUCGUCAGUAUGUUUAAUUUAGUACUAGUCGAUGCACAAACAACAACUGCUCCUCUCACGCCUACCACGGGUACUACGACUACCACGACUUCCCCACCUGCCACAUCAGGCUAACUCCCUUAUCGUAUUUUACAAAUUAUUCAUCAUCGUCAGUAUGUUAAUUUAGCACCUGCCACGUCUGCCACGUCUACUGCACCUUCCUCGUCUACCGCAACAGGCAAAUGCCCAUCUUAUCCACUUAAAUAAUCUACAGGAACAUCAUAACCAACAGCAACUACCUACUUGAUAAUAAUAUUAAUAAGGCUAUAGUUGCAAGUUUGAUACACCUAAGUCAAUAAUUUAGCUUAUUUAUACUUUCUGAUGUACCUAUUUUAUAUCCAAAUACAAUUGUAUGCACACUAAGAUGUUAACUCAUAUUAUAUAUCCAUUAAACUACAAAAUACAUGAGUCAUCCAAAUUUUAAUACGUUAUUGUAACAUUGCACUUAAUAAUCAUGUAUGCUUUC
rnacentral:lncRNA from 1 species